AGUGGCGAACGGGUGAGUAACGCGUGAGUAACCUGCCCUAGUAGUGGGGGAUUCAGUUGGAAACGACUGCUAAUACCGCAUAAGCCCACGACCCGGCAUCGGGUAGAGGGAAAAGGAGCAAUCCGCUUUGAGAUGGCCUCGCGUCCGAUUAGCUAGUUGGUGAGGUAAUGGCCCACCAAGGCGACGAUCGGUAGCCGGACUGAGAGGUUGAACGGCCACAUUGGGACUGAGACACGGCCCAGACUCCUACGGGAGGCAGCAGUGGGGAAUAUUGCACAAUGGGGGAAACCCUGAUGCAGCGACGCCGCGUGGAGGAAGAAGGUCUUCGGAUUGUAAACUCCUGUUGUUGAGGAAGAUAAUGACGGUACUCAACAAGGAAGUGACGGCUAACUACGUGCCAGCAGCCGCGGUAAAACGUAGGUCACAAGCGUUGUCCGGAAUUACUGGGUGCAAAGGGAGCGCAGGCGGGAAGACAAGUUGGAAGUGAAAUCCAUGGGCUCAACCCAUGAACUGCUUUCAAAACUGUUUUUCUUGAGUAGUGCAGAGGUAGGCGGAAUUCCCGGUGUAGCGGUGGAAUGCGUAGAUAUCGGGAGGAACACCAGUGGCGAAGGCGGCCUACUGGGCACCAACUGACGCUGAGGCUCGAAAGUGUGGGUAGCAAACAGGAUUAGAUACCCUGGUAGUCCACACUGUAAACGAUGAUGACUAGGUGUUGGAGGAUUGACCCCUU
rnacentral:rRNA from 1 species